GACGAACGCUGGCGGCGUGCUUAACACAUGCAAGUCGAACGAUGAAGAAGAGCUUGCUCCUCGGAUUAGUGGCGAACGGGUGAGUAACACGUGACUAACCUGCCCCUUUCUCUGGGAUAACGCUCCGAAAGGAGUGCUAAUACCGGAUACUCACAUCGAGGCACAUGCCUUGAUGUGGAAAGUUUUUCGGAAAGGGAUGGAGUCGCGGCCUAUCAGCUUGUUGGUGAGGUAACGGCUCACCAAGGCGACGACGGGUAGCCGGCCUGAGAGGGCGACCGGCCACACUGGGACUGAGACACGGCCCAGACUCCUACGGGAGGCAGCAGUGGGGAAUAUUGCACCAUGGGCGAAAGCCUGAUGCAGCGACGCCGCGUGAGGGAUGAAGGUCUUCGGAUUGUAAACCUCUUUCAGUAGGGACGAAGCGAAAGUGACGGUACCUAAAGAAGAAGCACCGGCUAACUACGUGCCAGCCGCCGCGGUAA
rnacentral:rRNA from 1 species